rnacentral:tmRNA from 1 species
GGGGCUGAUUCUGGAUUCGACGGGAUUUGCGAAACCCAAGGUGCAUGCCGAGGGGCGGUUGGCCUCGUAAAAAGCCGCAAAAAAUAGUCGCAAACGACGAAAACUACGCUUUAGCAGCUUAAUAACCUGCUUAGAGCCCUCUCUCCCUAGCCUCCGCUCUUAGGACGGGGAUAAAGAGAGGUCAAACCCAAAAGAGAUCGCGUGGAAGCCCUGCCUGGGGUUGAAGCGUUAAAACUUAAUCAGGCUAGUUUGUUAGUGGCGUGUCCGUCCGCAGCUGGCAAGCGAAUGUAAAGACUGACUAAGCAUGUAGUACCGAGGAUGUAGGAAUUUCGGACGCGGGUUCAACUCCCGCCAGCUCCACCA